rnacentral:rRNA from 1 species
UGGGGUAAUUUUCCGCAAUGGGCGAAAGCCUGACGGAGCAAUGCCGCGUGGAGGUGGAAGGCCUACGGGUCGUCAACUUCUUUUCUCGGAGAAGAAACAAUGACGGUAUCUGAGGAAUAAGCAUCGGCUAACUCUGUGCCAC